rnacentral:snRNA from 1 species
CUCCUUCCCUGGUGCCGGGUCCUCGUUGAUCACCGAGGACCAGGCCCCGGGUGAGGCGUGGGCAUUGCACUGCUCUCGCGUUGACGCUUGCCACUACCCCAAACUGGACAGGUGGGGUAUGCCAGUUGC